rnacentral:lncRNA from 1 species
GUGUGUGUGUGUGUGUUUUUUAUCCAGAUUCACAAUAGGGAAGAAAACAACAAAAGUGAUGGGGGAGAAAGGAAUCCAACGGUUGGAUUUAGGGAUUGUACAGACGAGUAGAUCAUAUAUCAUAUCCAGCGAUGGAUUCUGGAGAACCAAGUAAACUUUUUCUUCUUCUAGAGAGAGAAACUAGAGAGAGAGAAAUUGCGUUUGGUAAUAUCCAAAAUGGAAUGAUUUUUUUGUCUUUGUAAAUUAUGUGAAGGAAGAAUAAUAAUUGGAAUGAGUGCAUGUGAAGUUUUUGUGUUAGUUUUAUUACCUGC